rnacentral:rRNA from 1 species
UACGAAGGGGGCUAGCGUUGCUCGGAAUCACUGGGCGUAAAGGGCGCGUAGGCGGCGUUUUAAGUCAGGGGUGAAAUCCUGGAGCUCAACUCCAGAACUGCCUUUGAUACUGAGGAUCUUGAGUUCGGGAGAGGUGAGUGGAACUGCGAGUGUAGAGGUGAAAUUCGUAGAUAUUCGCAAGAACACCAGUGGCGAAGGCGGCUCACUGGCCCGAUACUGACGCUGAGGCACGAAAGCGUGGGGAGCAAACAGG